CCAAUAUUACUUAAAAUUAUAUUAGAUGUCGCUCUUCGAAUAUAAAGCGAAAAAUUUAUCUGGAAAUUUUUGCACGCCACUGUAGCUUGAAGGAAAAUAGAAAAAGAAGAGACAGGAAAGUUGGUAACCUAUACUCGUCGAUUUUUAUUCAGAUCGUUUCGAGACGUUGGAUGACAAGUCGUAGAACUUUUAUUUUUCGAUAAAAGAGUGCAGCCAAUCCUCGCUUCUACCUUGGAAAUCGAUUUUAUAUCCGAUAUGAAGUCGAUAGACGUGCCAUUCUUCGUUAACGAUAGAAAAAGAGAAUAACGCAUUUUUAUGCUUGGAAUUUAAAAUCGCACGAGAAUAAUUAAGUGAAAUCGGUUAAUACUGUACAAUUUCGAUUUUUUCUUAGACCACGGUACAUCGAACGUGGCUAUUCAAAGGGUACAAUAUUAUUUAAAAAAUCGUCGUACGCAACUUUAUGUACCUUCAAUUCCAUACAUUAUAACUAAACUCAAAGCUAACCUAAAACUAACUAUAUAACUUGUUCAUUUUUAUUUGAAAAUUCGUUUAGUGUGUGAUCAAGUGACAGUGUAGAUAUUUAAAAAGAUAAAAUGUCACGGAAGAAGAUAUUGCGAACAAUUCCGAGUGAUUCUAACCUUACUGAACCUAAACCUAAACCUAACCUAAAACUCGUGUUAUAUUUUGUCAUUUCUAUCUGGAAACUCGUUUAAUGGUCCAGCAGGUGUCAGUAUCGAUAUUUAGAAAAUCAAUUUAGGAAUUAUUAAAAAAAGUGUUAAAAUUCAUUCAAUACGGAAGCAAGCAUCAGCAGCGGUGAUAAAUCUUUGUAAAGAAUAAAGAGCGUGAACACAUUCCAACAAGUUUUUUCUCUUUAUCCGACAGCGAGCCAAAUGGCCACCAUUUGCUGUUUACUUUCUAACACUCAAUCUGCAGAAUUGUUUGCAACAAUUUUCUCAUAAUAUUCUACCCCUUUAAAUAACCCUUUUUAUACAGGGUGAUUGGUAACUGG